rnacentral:rRNA from 1 species
UGCCAGCAUCCGCUGUUCUCCUAAUUUACCUUUCGUAGUUCGGAAUUACUGGGCUUAAAGAGUUCGUAGGUGGUUGAAAAAGUUAGUGGUGAAAUCCCAGAGCUUAACUCUGGAACUGCCAUUAAAACUUUUCAGCUAGAGUAUGAUAGAGGAAAGCAGAAUUUCUAGUGUAGAGGUGAAAUUCGUAGAUAUUAGAAAGAAUACCAAUUGCGAAGGCAGCUCUCUGGAUCAUUACUGACACUGAGGAACGAAAGCAUGGGUAGCGAAGAGGAUUAGAUA